UCCUAGUAAACAUUUUUAAUCAAAGAUGAACUAUUUAGGACUCAGUGUGUCACAGACCUAUAGAUACCCACAUAUGAAGAACGUGGAGGUCUCACAAACAGCCUGUUUUCUGCUGUCAGUUAUGGAACAGAAACACUUGAUUUUCCUCUCCCUCAUAAUGUUGUUCCACUCUGGCUUCUCGCACCUGAUGGGUUUUGUCUUGGCAGUUGUCUCACUGAGAAAGACAUAAAGCUGGUAGAAAACAACUCCAGUUGUAUCAUAUACCCUCUUUGUCAUUUUUUGUGAUGCUGAUAUAGGUUUAUGUGCAUUCUGUUUGAGAUUGGCCAUCUCUAUUCACACUUUGCUGUGUAUCAAACCCCAGAAAUCUUAAGAACAGAAACGGCCAUACCCUUUCUUCAAAGGAAGGUCAAUCAGACUGCUGAAUAUCUCUGUCCCAAAUCCAGUCCUAUAGCUUUGUUUAAUGACAAUAAAAUAUGUUCCUAAUGUUUAACAUUCCUAAAUGUAUUACACAUUUUAAUGCUUUGCUUAUAGUGCUGUUACCCCCCAUGGAAGAACCAUGUCAAUUUGUUGAUACAAUGUCUCUAGCCUCUCUACCGUGAUGUCUCUUUUCAUUUGCUUGCAAUUUUAUCCAUGCUACAUUCCUGCAGCAGGAACAUUUACUGGAAAACUGCUAGCUCCUGUCUUUCCACACAAUCAGAUUAGAACUAGUGUCUACCUAUCUACUACCUCUAUCCAUGAA